rnacentral:rRNA from 1 species
AUGGCCAAGCAUGCUAUAGACUACAGCGUGUUUGGGGGGCCUCAAAAAUUUGAAAAGUGGAUGGACGUGCACUCAGCUCCGUCUUGCCCUUCUGAGGCGAGGGCACCAGUGGAGCAUCUAAUUGGGCAGUUUGCAUCAGGAAUGACCGGCCUGCUCGGGAAGUUGGUUGAGGGGUGGACGUCCCUCAGUGCCUCUGACAGCGACGCGGUUGCGAGGCAGUUCACUUCAUUUGUCCCAGAACAUACACAUCGGCCAACCGGUUGCCGUGGCCGGUAUGACUACAACAGCUCCCAAGAGCCCGGUGACACACAGGAUGAUGUGGAUGGAGACGCUGGCCUCAGCAAGGACGACGACGAUGACACCGAUGACGAUGAACACGCUGAAGUUCGCACAUGCGGCAAGAAGGGCAAGGAUGCAACAGGUGCCCACCCACCGGAGAAAGUGAAAGAACAUACGGCUGCGAGAGGCGAGGGGGUUUUGCCAUCAAGGAGGGGGAGGGCUCCAGAGGAUGUUGGGCAGGGUUCUGCUGGCAAGAGGUCUAGGAUCGAUCCCGUAGCUGCCAGGAAGAGUGAGCCGACCGCUGGUGGACGAGCAGCUACGAAGAAACAGGCGCCAACGCCAACCCGUGUUUCUGCUCGCUUGAACAAAGGUGCCCCCAUUGCCGGUGACAUCCCUUCCACCAGGUCUUCUGCUCGUACGACGACGACCAACACCGGGGAUCCUGUCGUGUUGCCUGACCUGAGGAAGGCAGUCAAGAAGGUGAAGAAGACUACUACGCGCGGGGCCAAGCAUAUCAGUAGAGACCCACUCGAACGCCUGCAUUCAAAGUUGUCAACAGGUGGCAACUCAGAUGUACAUGAGGCGCCAGGCGACAAUACUGCUGUUGCACCGUCAACUGCUCCCACUAACUCUGAUGCAAGUGGCCGACCAUCUCCGCCGGCUGCAGAUGUGUAG